rnacentral:snoRNA from 1 species
ACAGCCGUGAUUAUUUGCAUUGACCAAUUGUUCCGCCUGAAGGCCGAACGCCACUGUUGACAAUCGCAUCUCGUUAAGUUUCAGCCUUGUAUGAGCCAC